UUAAGCCAUGUGCGAGUCGAGAGACGCAAGACCUCGGCGCACUGCUCAGCAACACGUGGACAACCUACCCUGUGGAGGGGGAUAACCCCGGAAAACUGGGGAUAAUACCCCAUAGGUUAGGGAGGCUGGAAUGCCCCCUAGCUCAAAGGUCCGCCGCCACAGGAUGGGUCUGCGGCCGAUUAGGUUGUUGUUGGGGUAACGGCCCAACAAGCCUUUGAUCGGUACGGGUUGUGGGAGCAAGAGCCCGGAGAUGGAUUCUGAGACACGAAUCCAGGCCCUACGGGGCGCAGCAGGCGCGAAAACUUUACAAUGCGAGAAAUCGUGAUAAGGGAACCCCGAGUGCCCGUAAAUUCGGGCUGUCCGCCAGUGCAAAAAACUGGUGAAGAAAGAGCCGGGCAAGACCGGUGCCAGCCGCCGCGGUAAUACCGGCGGCUCGAGUGGUGGCCACUAUUACUGGGCUUAAAGCGUCCGUAGCUUGGUUGUUAAGUCUCCUGGGAAAUCCAUCGGCUCAACCGAUGGGCGUUCAGGAGAUACUGGCAACCUAGGGACCGGGAGAGGUGAGAGGUACUCCAGGGGUAGGAGUGAAAUCCUGUAAUCCUUGGGGGACCACCUGUGGCGUAGGCGUCUCACUAGAACGGCUCCGACAGUGAGGGACGAAAGCUGGGGGAGCAAACCGGAUUAGAUACCCGGGUAGUCCCAGCUGUAAACGAUGCGCGUUAGGUGUAUCGGUGACCACGAGUCAUCGAGGUGCCGAAGGGAAACCGUGAAACGCGCCGCCUGGGAAGUACGGUCGCAAGGCUGAAACUUAAAGGAAUUGGCGGGGGAGCACCACAACAGGUGGAGCCUGCGGUUUAAUCGGACUCAACGCCGGGAAGCUCACCGGAUAAGACAGCUGAAUGAUAGCCGGGUUGAAGACUCUGCUUGACUAGCUGAGAGGAGGUGCAUGGCCGUCGUCAGUCGUACUAANNUC
rnacentral:rRNA from 1 species